rnacentral:rRNA from 1 species
UCCACACGGUAAACGAUGAAUACUCGCUGUUUGCGAUAUACAGCAAGCGGCCAAGCGAAAGCGUUAAGUAUUCCACCUGGGGAGUACGCCGGCAACGGUGAAACUCAAAGGAAUUGACGGGGGCCCGCACAAGCGGAGGAACAUGUGGUUUAAUUCGAUGAUACGCGAGGAACCUUACCCGGGCUUGAAUUGCACUCGAAUAUAGCGGAAACGUUAUAGCUAGCAAUAGCGAGUGUGAAGGUGCUGCAUGGUUGUCGUCAGCUCGUGCCGUGAGGUGUCGGCUUAAGUGCCAUAACGAGCGCAACCCUUGUCUAUAGUUACUAACAGGUCAUGCUGAGGACUCUAUGGAGACUGCCAUCGUAAGAUGUGAGGAAGGUGGGGAUGACGUCAAAUCAGCACGGCCCUACGUCCGGGGCCACACACGUGUUACAAUGGGGGGUACAGAGGGCCGCUACCACGCAAGUGGAUGCCAAUCCCGAAAGCCUCUCUCAGUUCGGACUGGAGUCUGCAACCCGACUCCACGAAGCUGGAUUCGCUAGUAAUCGCGCAUCAGCCAUGGCGCGGUGAAUACGUUCCCGGGCCUUGUACACACCGCCCGUC